AUCGCUUCUCGGCCUUUUGGCUAAGAUCAAGUGUAGUAUCUGUUCUUAUCAGUUUAAUAUCUGAUACGUCCUCUAUCCGAGGACAAUAUAUUAAAUGGAUUUUUGGAGCAGGGAGAUGGAAUAGGAGCUUGCUCCGUCCACUCCACGACAUCGACCUGGUAUUGCAGUACCUCCAGGAACGGUGCACCCCCU
rnacentral:snRNA from 10 species